GUAGAUAUAGUUUAACUAAAACACUAGAUUGUGAUUCUAGAAAUAAAGACUUACCUCUUUUACCUGCC
rnacentral:tRNA from 1 species